rnacentral:rRNA from 1 species
UGGGGAACCGUGCCCCACUAGUCUGGGAUACCACUUGGAAACAGGUGCUAAUACCGGAUAAGAAAGACGGAUCGCAUGAUCAGCUUUUAAAAGGCGGCGUAAGCUGUCGCUAUGGGAUGGCCCCGCGGUGCAUUAGCUAGUUGGUAAGGUAAAGGCUUACCAAGGCGAUGAUGCAUAGCCGAGUUGAGAGACUGAUCGGCCACAUUGGGACUGAGACACGGCCCAAACUCCUACGGGAGGCAGCAGCU